GACGAACGCUGGCGGCGUGCUUAACACAUGCAAGUCGAACGGAAAGGCCCUGCUUUUGUGGGGUGCUCGAGUGGCGAACGGGUGAGUAACACGUGAGUAACCUGCCCUUGACUUUGGGAUAACUUCAGGAAACUGGGGCUAAUACCGGAUAGGAGCUCCUGCUGCAUGGUGGGGGUUGGAAAGUUUCGGCGGUUGGGGAUGGACUCGCGGCUUAUCAGCUUGUUGGUGGGGUAGUGGCUUACCAAGGCUUUGACGGGUAGCCGGCCUGAGAGGGUGACCGGCCACAUUGGGCCUGAGAUACGGCCCAGACUCCUACGGGAGGCAGCAGUGGGGAAUAUUGCCCAAUGGGCGGAAGCCUGAUGCAGCAACGCCGCGUGCGGGAUGACGGCCUUCGGGUUGUAAACCGCUUUCGCCUGUGACGAAGCGUGAGUGACGGUAAUGGGUAAAGAAGCACCGGCUAACUACGUG
rnacentral:rRNA from 1 species